rnacentral:rRNA from 1 species
UACGUAGGGUGCGAGCGUUAAUCGGAAUUACUGGGCGUAAAGCGUGCGCAGGCGGUUUUGUAAGCCAGAUGUGAAAUCCCCGGGCUUAACCUGGGAAUGGCAUUUGGGACUGCAAGGCUCGAGUGCGGCAGAGGAGACUGGAAUUCCUGGUGUAGCAGUGAAAUGCGUAGAUAUCAGGAGGAACACCGGUGGCGAAGGCGGAUCUCUGGGCCUUACCUGACGCUCAGGUGCGAAAGCUAGGGGAGCGAACAGG